UAUGUGAUCGUCUCUCGCAUAUCAAUAAGCGGAGGAAAAGAAACUAACAAGGAUUCCCCUAGUAACGGCGAGUGAAGCGGGAAGAGCUCAAAUUUGAAAUCUUAAAGGGUUUCCCUUUACGAAUUGUAGUUUAAAGAAGUGUUUUCUGUUGAGGUUUUGGUAAAAGUUCUUUGGAAUAGGACAUCAUAGAGGGUGAGAAUCCCGUAUUUGACCUUUACUUUCAACUUUGUGAUACACUUUCAAAGAGUCGGAUUGUUUGGGAAUGCAGUCCAAAAUGGGUGGUAAAUUUCAUCUAAAGCUAAAUAUUGGCGAGAGACCGAUAGCGAACAAGUACCGUGAGGGAAAGAUGAAAAGAACUUUGAAAAGAGAGUUAAACAGUACGUGAAAUUGUCAAAAGGGAAGCGUUUGACACCAGUGUUGUUUUUCUGAAAAUCAAUUAAAGAACUGUUUAUGCUAAGUUGUUAGACUUUAUCAGCUAACUGUUUAGUUUUGAGCUUUUCUUUAAUGCACUUUUCAGUUAACAAGUCAACAUCAAUUUCUUUUGCUGUAAAAAAGCUUGAGGAAGGUGGCUUGAGAUUCGUCUUAAGUGUUUAUAGCCUCUUGCCUAUGCAGCCGGAGAGAUUGAGGUCUGCAGCGUAGAUCCUUCGGGGCUAAAUGCAUUUGUGCUAAGUUAUAACAUUUUAUAGACAACUUGUUGACUAUGAUUUGUCUUGUAGCUUACUCGCUUAUGUUAUUUUACCUACGCUUAGGAUGUUGAGUAGCGACAUACGCAC
rnacentral:rRNA from 1 species